ACAUCGUCGGCGUGGGUGGUUGUGAUCGGCGGUGGGCGGUCGUCUACGUUCUCCCCGUACGCGGUGGAGCUCUGACGCGUUGCCAUCCAGACNCCGCGUAAUGUUCAACAGCUACGUCCGUCCAUUCCGGUUGUAUUUUUUUCUCUGUGACAGUUCGGGUUCUGUUAUACCAGACCAAUUAUUUUUGUGUCGAUAAUGACGCGUACGGACGACGUCCCGGCGGUAAUUUUGCCGUAUUGUCGCUGGCACAACCAACUAGGUAAGUACUAUACACGUGUCUCGUGGUUCGGGGUACCUACUCGACCUGGCCGGCGCGCACGUGGUUUUUAUUUCGUUACAAUAAAAUUAUGCGUUUACGUUAUUGUGCGGACAUUUCGUCCGCACAAUUUUGCGCGUAAUUGUCCGUGGCCCGUCAACGAACGAAGCCCGGCCCCNCGUUACCCGUAUUUCGCCGUCGUGUAAGUUUAGCCAUGUGGCCCGUCGACGUACGGGCUCUGCUCCUGCCCCGGUCAGUGUAGUCGACGAAAUAGCCGUUAAACGACGUACCUAUAUAAUAAUAUUUGUAUUUAAAAAAAAAUAAUAUAGUCUGUGGUAUGUACGAUCACAAGACCACACAGUAGCAUACAAUGUAUCUAAUAUUUGUAUUAAAAAAAGUGUACGGUAACCAUGGUCAUAUGUGGUUACUAAGUGGUGCUAGAAUAUCGGCCGGAUGUUCUGUCUGCGUAAUUCUUAUUAUGCAGUAUUUUAUUUAAAAAAAAAAAAAAAAAAUGUGAACAAUCAAAUUACUAUGUACCUACAUAAUAUUUGUAUUGAAAGAGAAAAUGAAAUAAAAAUCUAUCAUCGGAAAAGCGACAUAUUAAAAUUAUUGAUUUAAAUAAUAUGGUAUUGGAAAGACUAUUCAAAUUAAACGGUCCAAUCAUGGUUAUGUAACCGUAACUUUAUUGGUACAAGGUUUACGGGGUUGACCACGCUGCUCUUACGGUUGUCCUUUUUGACAACACGUUUGCGUAUUAUAUUUUUGAUUUAUUUAUGAUUUCUUUAAAACAAAAGAUUGUACUCGAAUGCGUAUGAAUUCUUAUGUAACAUUGUCAAAUUUAUAUUGUACUUAAUAAUUAUCCAGUAAAAUAAUUUUAUCUGAACUACUAUUUAUAUAAAUAUAUAAACAGUAAAAUCCUUCUUAAAAAUUUAUUUUAAAAUACCUAAAUUUUAAACAUUAGUUAAAUUAUUUUGAUUUUGAAUAAAAAUAAUAUUUUGUUAUUUUCUUUAUUUUCUCGUUAUUAAUUAAUCGUAUAACCUAUAUUGUUUUUUAAUAUUAAACAGUUCUUACUCAUUUUCUUUUGGAUUUUAUAAUUUUAAUAGAUAGCAAGUUAUUACUAAAUGUAGAUAAAAUAUAUGCAUGUGUGACGAACUGAAGGGCAGAAAAUAUCUUUACUUAUAUAUUUGAAAUAACUUAAAUAAAUUUUAAGUGAAGACCAGUUCUUGACAGGACUUGGUUUGUAAUGACAUGAAAUAUUGCAGCCCUAACAGCCUCGCACAUUUAAAAUAUGAAAUGUAUUUCUCCUCGGUACUACUUUUGUAUUUAGCCAAGAUACAAUAUCUGUGUGGUCAUCAGAGCAGUUUGAUCAGUGUCUUAACAUGUUCAGUUGGUAUUNUGGGCCAGAAUUUGCUUUCUUAGUCACAUAAAUGAAUAAAUUAAACACUUGCAUUUUUAAAUAGCUGAACACCAAGAUCCCCAACUACCUCAACAAACCAUAAUCUUCAUUAGACGGAUCCAAUUUACUUUUGUUCAUCGCUAUUGGCCGCACCCAUAUUACCAGUAGUCUCCUGGAUGCAAGAAGAAUUCUUCAAUAACAACCAUGAGAUGGGCGGAACGUGAUCGCGUCGAAGCAAAAGUAUUUAUUAAUAAUUAUUUUUAUUUUGUAAAGCAAUAGUUAUAAGCUUGGUUUAAGUUUUAUAAGUACCGCUUAAAUUUCUAUGAUGAUUGCCUAACUAAGACUGUCAUUAUAAUAAUUUCCAACGGAGAAAGAGUGUUCUCUCCAUCGUUGACUUAGAAUUUUUGAUCGAAACUGUUCAGUUGAAUAACAAUUUCUUCAGGUUUUUUCUAUGUACUGUCUAAAAAAUAAAAAAAUAGUUUUUUUUGGGUGUAAAGGUUUUAUUAGUCUAACGCUAAUAAUAGAAUAGAAUAAUACUUAAAGGCUAGAUUAAUGGUUGAAAUCUAUGUGCUCUAUACAAGCUUGUUUAAGAAUGGUCAUCAUAACUUUAGAAAUGAUUAUGAAGUGUACUUACAAAAAUCCCAAAUUUUUUCUGGAAUCAAAUUAAAUUUAAGAUUAUUAAUUAAUAUUGUGUUUAUAAAUUGAAAAAAAAUAUCUUCACACUCCCAUCCCUUUCGUCGUGAUUUGAAGAUUGUGUUAAGGAUAAUUCAAAUUGUACUCAUUUUUGGAAACUGAGAUUAUAA